ACGCUGGCGGCGUGCCUAAUACAUGCAAGUCGAGCGGACCAAAGGGAGCUUGCUCCUGGAGGUUAGCGGCGAACGGGUGAGUAACACGUGGGCAACCUGCCUGUAAGACUGGGAUAACAUCGAGAAACUCGGUGCUAAUACCGGAUAAUAAAAAGAACUGCAUGGUCUUUUUGAAAGAUGGUUUCGACUAUCACUUACAGAUGGGCCCGCGGCGCAUUAGCUAGUUGGUGAGGUAACGGCUCACCAAGGCGACGAUGCGUAGCCGACCUGAGAGGGUGAUCGGCCACACUGGGACUGAGACACGGCCCAGACUCCUACGGGAGGCAGCAGUAGGGAAUCUUCCGCAAUGGACGAAAGUCUGACGGAGCAACGCCGCGUGAGUGAUGAAGGUUUUCGGAUCGUAAAACUCUGUUGUUAGGGAAGAACAAGUGCCGUUCGAAAGGGCGGCACCUUGACGGUACCUAACGAGAAAGCCACGGCUAACUACGUG
rnacentral:rRNA from 1 species